CGAGCUUGUAUCCAGUCGAGUCAAAUGACUCCCGUUUCUUCCUGUUGAAGUCGAUAUAUGGUGGGGAUAAUAAGUAUAGGUGGUUGACGAAAUCUCAGCGCAUUGUACAGGUUGUUUAUGUGGUGCUGGCGGUGAUGGUGAUAGUAUAUUCGUUCUUGUCCUUGUUGACUGGCAAUUCUUUGUCGUUUUAGACGGGCUAUUGAUCGUCGUCUCUGUGGACGGGCUGCUUUUAACAAAACAACAUAACACGUACUUACGUCGAAAGCUUAUGUUAAACAAUACAAGAUUCUACUCACCUGGAUGACUAAACGUAGCUAGAUGAUUUGGGUUUUUCCUGUAACACCACGCCCUGGCAAGGUGGCCGUUUUUUAUCGUAAGGGGUAACGUUUUUCCUACAAACACAAUUAUUUACGAAAUAGAUAAUGAGCCCAAUAAUAUAUGAAAUCAUAUUGAAUUAAAUAUUGACUAUUUUAUAAACUUAAAAAAUCAUAAACUGAGUCCUAUAAUUUAUCUAUACAUUUUUUAUUCAAACAUGUUUCGCAUUGUCAAACCUGUUUCACCUGGUAUUAUUCUGUGUGUUCUGGUGCACAAAUUAUUAUAACUGUUUAUCUCGCUACUUUUGUGGUAGCCAAGACACCUGCAUGGUUGUUACAGUCCAGAAAAACAGAUUUUCUUAAAAUGUUGUUGUGAUAAAGAGCAAAUGUAAUGGUAUUAAAAAUGUAAACAGUACAAUUUACAUCUACAGUAAAAUAAUUUAUGAUUUAACUUCCCUGUGGAUGUUUCGUUUGACGUGUACGAGGAGUGCAUCCUUCCUGGAGAAGGACAGCCCCUAGAGGUGUUUUCAAACAUAUUUACAAUCAGUUAUCAUAAAAAGUAAAAUUAAUUAACUUCUUUAUCUUCAUAAAAAAGUAUUUACCACAGUAAAAAAUAAGAUACAUAUAAACAUAAUUCACAGUAGACAUUUAAUUAAUGGUUACUCUAAGUAAUAUUAAUGAUAUAUAUAAAAUGAUAGAACGAUAAAAUAGAAAUAGUUCCAUGAAAAGUAUUGGACAAGCGUCAUGUCUAUGGUUGCUCUCGGAUCACCAUGGUAAAAGGUGCCCCGUUGUGUCUAUUCAGAGCAAAUCACUCCUUGUGAAAAUCAAUGUACAGAUGCCACAGAACAUACUGCGUGUUUCCGUCGGUGUCUUACGUGCCUUUUUAAAUUGAUUUUUAAGGUGAAGCAUCUCUGUCCUUGUAAAGGCCAGUCGUGCACUAGCUGAUGGAACAGACAUAACGAGUCCCUCCGUGAACUGUCCUCUGGUGUCUUUUGAGAUUAAGGGUGAAUACGCCGGCGCACUGCCGACACUCGUGUCCAUAUUGUCUCUACUCCAUUGUUAAAAAUGUGCCCUAAAUAUAUAUAACACAAUGAAUUACUUGAAGCACUAGAAAUAAAACUACUUAACAUUGUAGUAAUAAUUAGUGUGGGGAAGGUCAGGUGGACUAAUUGACGUUUCUGUGAGUUUCCUUUUCUUGGUAAAGGUUUUCAUUGCACUUCCGAUUACUGCAAUUGUUACAUUUAAAUAUAUAAAACAUUGAUCAGAUAUACACCCAUCUCUCCUGCACUUCUUAUUUUACUUGAAAGUACACUUUUUACUUUUCCAGUUUAGCACAGUCCUGACAUUCCACUUCACAAGUUUCAGUCACAACAUGAGCGUUGAGAUCUGUUGAGAUCAUCGGGCACCAAGCCUGAAAAGGUCGGGGGGACUAAUUGUAGUAAAAUCAUGCCUCCCCCGAGGGGCAUUUCACUCCAAAAAUCCCGUACACUUCGUCAAAAAAUCCGAAAAAAAUCCGAACAAAUCCGGAAAAUCCAACAGAUUUUCUCUUCAAAAAUCCGCUAAAAAUCCGCUAAAUCCGCGGAUUUUUAAAAAUCCGAAAAUCCCGUGCGCUUCGUCAAACAAUCCGGACAAAAUCCGAACAAAUCCGGAAAAUCCAAACAAAUCGGGAAAAUCCAACAGAUUUUCUCUUCAAAAAUCCGCUAAAAAAUCCGGGAAAAAUCCGCUAAAAAAUCCGUGGAUUUUUAAAAAUCCGCAAAUCCCGUACGCUUUUUUGGAGUGAAAUGCCCCUCGGCCUCCCCAAUGUUUCUGACAUGAGGAAUUGUCUGGUUGCCGUAGGCGUUGAUAAGAGGGAAGGGAGACUACAGGGGAAAUUAUUUCGGAAAUCAAGAAUAUAGACUUAUUGCACCCACUUACCUGCGUAAUAUAUUUGCAUAUAGAACUGGAGUUCAUAAUUCCACAUUUCGGAAAAUGUAGUUUUCAAGUUGUUUGUCCGACACAAGGGUUUUUUAAAGCUUUGGUGAAAGGAUGGAAUGACAGUUAAAACUUAAAAUGUUUCGACUCUUGUUUAUGUUUGACCUCCAACUCCUGUGUAUUCUUCUGCAUUUCCAUUAACUUCAGACUGGUUCACAUUUUACUGGAAGUUGAUGUGGGACGGCUAUGUACAGUUCCUGUGUCCCACGAAAAAUGAGUUAGUUAUGAUAGAAUGUGAUUUCUAUAAUAAUUGUUUAAUUUACAUCAUUUACCUUAUUUUGUAUUGUGUUAAAAUAUUUGAAACGGCCAAAAAUGAAAAGGCUAACCUAGUGUCAUCGUUUCGGAAUCCCGGUGUUGGUUGUCAAAACUGGAUUAGUGGCUAACCCUUGGUUAAAUUUUAAUCUUGUCUUUUAUUUUUGUAUUUCUGAAUGUCAGUUUAUUUCAAAACUUCAGAGUAACUCUUGAUAACAGACAGUAUUUUUGAAGAAAUAUUUCCAUAUCUAUAAAAACGCUGUUAGGGAGUUCAUUGGAAUUUUAGGUUAAACUAUAGGGUUACGAUCAGUGCUAACCUUGUGUCAAAUUGACCAGCUGUUUUAAUAGUUUGCAUUUCUGCAUGAAACCUUCAGAAAAGAUAAUUUCCAUUUCAUUAAAAAUAUUUCCAAGUUGAUAAACAGGAUGGCGGGAGGUUUUCUUUGAAGUUUAGGUCAACUUUGGCCUAGGGUUAAGCUAACGAGCAUUUGAACAACCAACCCCAAAAUAGUUUCAAUAGCGUCCAGUUCAUAGUUACUUUCUGUAAUGAAAAAAAUAGUAUAAAGGAUAAUGAAAAGUGGAUGUAAAAAUAGUGAGAAAAAUAACUGGAAUAAGUAAAAUAUAAAUGGUAGGAAAAAAAUGCUAGAAACCUAAUUAAAAAAUUGUAGGGAAAAAACACAACUGAAAGAAGUAAAAAAAUAGUAGAAAAUUAGAUUGAAAAAAUAAUGAAAAAUAAAUGUAAAAAUAGUGAAAAAUAAAUGUAAAAAUAGUGAAGAAAAAAUAAUAGAAAAUUACAUUGAAAAAAUAAUGAAAAAUAAAUGUAAAAAUAGUGAAGAAAAAAUAAUGAAAAAUAAAUGUAAAAAUAGUGAAAAAUAAAUGUAAAAAUAGUGAAGAAAAAAUAAUGAAAAAUAAAUGUAAAAAUAGUGAAAAAUAAAUGUAAAAAUAUGAAGAAAAAUAAAUGUAAAAAUAGUGAAGAAAAAAUAAUAGAAAAUUACAUUGAAAAAAUAAUGAAAAGUAAAUGUAAAAAUAGUGAAGAAAAAAUAAUAGAAAAUUACAUCGAAAAAUAAUGAAAAAUAGUCUUACAUAAUGAAAAAGUUGUGAAAAGAAAAACAACUGAAAGAAGUAAAACUGAAUAGAAGAAAAUUACAUCGAAAAAAUAUAAUAGUGAAAAAGUUGGAGAAACGUAGUAGAGAUAUUUGUAAAAGGAAUAAAAAUGAACCUUAUUUUUCAAAAUACGAGUGAUUUUUUUAUAAAAUAAUUGUGUUUCUUAAUUUCAAAACAUACAGCUAUUUCAAACGAGCCGAAGUCGAAUGCAACCGCGAAAGGCUGCUGGAAAUUAUUGAAUUUUCAUAUCCAUUCCCAGCAGCCUUUCGCGCUCGUAUUCGACUUCUCCGCCUUGCUCGAGAACGCAU
rnacentral:lncRNA from 1 species